AUCCAGACUCCUACGGGAGGCAGCAGUGGGGGAUAUUGCACAAUGGGGGGAACCCUGAUGCAGCGACGCCGCGUGGGUGAAGGAGUGCUUCGGUAUGUAAAGCUCUAUCAGCAGGGAAGAAAAUGACGGUACCUGAUUAAGAAGCCCCGGCUAACUACGUGCCAGCAGCCGCGGUAAUACGUAGGGGGCAAGCGUUAUCCGGAUUUACUGGGUGUAAAGGGAGCGUAGACGGCGCGGCAAGUCUGAAGUGAAAGGCAGGGGCUUAACCCCUGAACUGCUUUGGAAACUGCCAUGCUAGAGUGCUGGAGAGGUAAGUGGAAUUCCUAGUGUAGCGGUGAAAUGCGUAGAUAUUAGGAGGAACACCAGUGGCGAAGGCGGCUUGCUGGACGACGACUGACGUUGAGGCUCGAAAGCGUGGGGAGCAAACAGGAUUAGAUACCCGAGUAU
rnacentral:rRNA from 1 species